UGGAAAGUCACAUCUCAUCGUGACCGAAGUUCAACAGGGAUGAAAGGAUAUGUGUUGAGGACUAGGGAGAGUGUGCUUGCUUCUGUCUUCUUGUGGUUCUGGCUUUGUAGAGACAACUGUUAAUGAAGUGGGAGAACUCUGUGCUCAUAAAGCUUAAGUUUCACAGACGGGCGAAGGAGGCAACCAAGAAACAGUGGGGGCCCCAUUGCCAAGGACAGUAUCAACACAGCUCAUUGAACACAGAAAGAGGUCAAGCUGGUGCCUGCAUGGAGCCUUCACCCCUACAUUCUAGUCUCUUUGGUGCAAGAAGGUACUCUACAGGCUAUGGAAAGAGAAGCCUGGACAUCAACCCAGCCACAAAUCCUUUGACCUACAAUCUACUCUGCUUGAAAGAUGCGUUGGGGCAAGGGUGGUGCAGAACCUGAGGAAGCGGCCAACCAAUGUCUGCAUGCGUCUGCACCGGGUCCUCUGUGUACACGUUAGGGCUGUUAGCCUGGCGUUUUUGUGGGACUUGUCAGAGUGGGAGAGGCUGUUUCUAUGACUCUUUUGCCUGCUCUUGUGACUUUUUCCCCCUCCUGCUGGGUUGCCUCGUCCAACUUCGAUGUGAGGGCUUUUGCCUUGUCUUAUUGUAUUUUGUUUUGUUGUGCUCGGUUGUUGUUGCUUGGA